GAGACCUGGAAAGAGGGGUAAGCUAACGAGGCUCACCCUAAAAGGAGGGGUGGAGGACUGAAACAUUGAUGAUGCCUCAGGGAGAAGCUGAGCCGUUAUGGAGUUUAGUAAGAAAUCCACCUGUGUUACUGCCUGUGAGUAUUGAUAGCCCUGUUUUUCCUGCUGUAUUUUCUUCUAAUUGGACAAUUGGUACUGCUGCCAGCAAUGUAAAACUCCAAGAAGGUUUUGUAAA